rnacentral:rRNA from 1 species
GAUGAACGCUGGCGGCAGGCCUAAUACAUGCAAGUCGAGCGAACGCACGAGAAGCUUGUUUCUCUGCUGUUAGCGGCGGACGGGCGAGUAACACGUGCAUCACCUACCUAUAAGUCUUGGAUGACAUCGUGAAAACACUUCUAAUACCAGCUAAUAUUUUGAACCGCAGGGAUCAAAAGUUAAUGACACUCUUGCUGUCUCUUUUAGAUGGUUUCGUGCUGGAUUAGCUAGUUGGUAAGGUAACGGCUUACCAAGGCAACGAUGCAUAGCCGACCUGAGAGGAUGAUCAGCCACACUGGAACUGAGACACGGUCCAGACUCCUACGGGAGGCAGCAGUAGGGAAUAUUCGACAAUGGGCGAAAGCCUGAUCGAGCAAUGCCGCGUGGGUGAUGAAGGUCUUCGGAUCGUAAAACCCUGUUAUUAGGGAAGAACAUCUGUGUGAGUAACUGUAGACGUCUUGACGGUACCUAAACAGAAAGCAACGGCUAACUACGUG